rnacentral:rRNA from 1 species
AUUGAACGCUGGCGGCAGGCUUAACACAUGCAAGUCGAACGAGUGGCGGACGGGUGAGUAAUGCUUGGGAAUCUGGCUGAUGGAGGGGGAUAACUACGGGAAACUGUAGCUAAUACCGCAUACCAUCGGAUGAGCCCAGGUGGGAUUAGGUAGUUGGUGGGGUAACGGCUCACCAAGCCGACGAUCUCUAGCUGGUCUGAGAGGAUGAUCAGCCACACUGGAACUGAGACACGGCCCAGACUCCUACGGGAGGCAGCAGUGGGGAAUAUUGCACAAUGGGCGCAAGCCUGAUGCAGCCAUGCCGCGUGUAUGAAGAAGGCCUUAGGGUUGUAAAGUACUUUCAGCGGGGAGGCGUUACCCGCAGAAGAAGCACCGGCUAACUCCGUGCCAGCCGCCGCGGUAAUAC